ACAUGCAAGUCGAACGAUGAAGCCCUUCGGGGUGGAUUAGUGGCGAACGGGUGAGUAACACGUGGGCAAUCUGCCCUUCACUCUGGGACAAGCCCUGGAAACGGGGUCUAAUACCGGAUAAUACCUGCCUGGGCAUCUGGGUGGGUUAAAAGCUCCGGCGGUGAAGGAUGAGCCCGCGGCCUAUCAGCUUGUUGGUGAGGUAGUGGCUCACCAAGGCGACGACGGGUAGCCGGCCUGAGAGGGCGACCGGCCACACUGGGACUGAGACACGGCCCAGACUCCUACGGGAGGCAGCAGUGGGGAAUAUUGCACAAUGGGCGAAAGCCUGAUGCAGCGACGCCGCGUGAGGGAUGACGGCCUUCGGGUUGUAAACCUCUUUCAGCAGGGAAGAAGCGAAAGUGACGGUACCUGCAGAAGAAGCGCCGGCUAACUACGUGCCAGCAGCCGCGGUAAUACGUAGGGCGCAAGCGUUGUCCGGAAUUAUUGGGCGUAAAGAGCUCGUAGGCGGCUUGUCACGUCGGUUGUGAAAGCCCGGGGCUUAACCCCGGGUCUGCAGUCGAUACGGGCAGGCUAGAGUGUGGUAGGGGAGAUCGGAAUUCCUGGUGUAGCGGUGAAAUGCGCAGAUAUCAGGAGGAACACCGGUGGCGAAGGCGGAUCUCUGGGCCAUUACUGACGCUGAGGAGCGAAAGCGUGGGGAGCGAACAGGAUUAGAUACCCUGGUAGUCCACGCCGUAAACGGUGGGAACUAGGUGUUGGCGACAUUCCACGUCGUCGGUGCCGCAGCUAACGCAUUAAGUUCCCCGCCUGGGGAGUACGGCCGCAAGGCUAAAACUCAAAGGAAUUGACGGGGGCCCGCACAAGCAGCGGAGCAUGUGGCUUAAUUCGACGCAACGCGAAGAACCUUACCAAGGCUUGACAUCGCCCGGAAAGCAUCAGAGAUGGUGCCCCCCUUGUGGUCGGGUGACAGGUGGUGCAUGGCUGUCGUCAGCUCGUGUCGUGAGAUGUUGGGUUAAGUCCCGCAACGAGCGCAACCCUUGUUCUGUGUUGCCAGCAUGCCCUUCGGGGUGAUGGGGACUCACAGGAGACUGCCGGGGUCAACUCGGAGGAAGGUGGGGACGACGUCAAGUCAUCAUGCCCCUUAUGUCUUGGGCUGCACACGUGCUACAAUGGCAGGUACAAUGAGCUGCGAUGCCGCGAGGCGGAGCGAAUCUCAAAAAGCCUGUCUCAGUUCGGAUUGGGGUCUGCAACUCGACCCCAUGAAGUCGGAGUUGCUAGUAAUCGCAGAUCAGCAUUGCUGCGGUGAAUACGUUCCCGGGCCUUGUACACACCGCCCGUCACGUCACGAAAGUCGGUAACACCCGAAGCCGGUGGCCCAACCCCCUUGUGGGGAGGGAGCUGUCGAAGGUGGGACUGGCGAUUGGGACGAAGUCGUAA
rnacentral:rRNA from 1 species